rnacentral:rRNA from 1 species
AACGAACGCUGGCGGCGUGUUUAAGACAUGCAAGUCGCACGGGAUUGGUUGAGUAGUAAUACGAUUCCAGUCUAGUGGCGCACGGGUGAGUAACAUGUGAAUUACAUGCCCUUCAGUGGGGAAUAGCCCAGGGAAACUUGGAUUAAUACCCCAUGGUAUCGCAAGAUUAAAGGUGGCCGCAAGGCUGUCGCUGAAGGAUUGGUUGGCACCCUAUCAGCUUGUUGGUGAGGUAAUGGCUCACCAAGGCUACGACGGGUACCUGGUCUGAGAGGACGAUCAGGCACACUGGAACUGAGACACGGUCCAGACACCUACGGGUGGCAGCAGUCGAGAAUAAUUCACAAUGGGGGCAACCCUGAUGGUGCAACGCCGCGUGGAGGAUGACGGUCUUCGGAUUGUAAACUCCUGUCAUCUGGGAGUAAGGCAUGGUUGUUAAUAGCAAACAUGAUUGAUAGUACCAGAAGAGGAAGGGACGGCUAACUUCGUGCCAGCCGCCGCAGUAAUAC